rnacentral:rRNA from 1 species
GUCAGUCGUCCUCCUUAUGCUGAGAAGGGCACGUUGUGCCGUGACACCUUCUGUGGUUACUGCUCUCGGUCAGGUCACCCAGAGUCUGAUUGUCGCCAGAAGAAGCGAGACCAGAGGCGCACCCCUUCUAGUGGGACUCCUGUGUCU